CUGUAGUUUCUGACCUUAUAUUUGAGGCUUUUGUCCAUUUUGAGUUGAUUUUUAUGUAUGGUGUAAGAUAAAAGUCUAAUUUCAUUCUUUUGUGUGUGGAAAUUUAGUUUUCCUAUCACCAUUUAUCGAAGACUCUCCUUUCUCCAUCAUGUCCUCUUUCAUGCCCUUGAUAAAAAGUGGUUGACCAUCAAUGGUUGGAUUGAUUUCUGAGCUCUCUACUAUGUUUCACUGGUCUAUGUAUCUGCUUUUAUGCCAGAGCCAUACUGUUUUGGUUAAUAUAGCUUUGUAAUAUAAUUAUAAAUCAGUAAGUGUAAUGCCUCUGACUUUUAUUUUUCUUUCUCAAAAUUGCUUUGGCUAUUCAGGGUUUUUUGUAGUUCCACACGAAUUUUGGGAUUUUUUCCCUAUUUCCUUGAAAAAUAUCAUUGCAGUUUUGGUGGGAAUUACAUUGAAUUUGUAGAUUAUUCUGGCUGGUAUGAACAUUUUUAACAAUAUUAAUUCUUCUAAUCUGUGAACAUAAGAUAUCUUUCCAUUUAUUUGUGCCUCCUUCAAUUUACUUUAUCAAUCUUUUAUAGCUUUUAAUAUACAGAUCUUUCACCUCCUUGGAUAAAUUUGUUUCUACAUAUUUUUAUGUGAUUAUAAAUGGGAAUGUUUUCUUUUUCUUCUUUUUUUUCUUUUUUCUUUUUCUUUUUUUUUUUUUUUUGAGAUGGAGUCUUCCUCUGUAGCCCAUGCUGGACUGCAGUGGCAUGAUCUCAGCUCACUGCAACCUCCGUUUCUCGGGUUCAAGGGAUUCUCCUCUCUCAGCCUCCUGAUUAGCUGGGACUACAGGCACACACCACCAUGCCCAGCUAAAUUUUUUUUUGUAUUUUAGUAUAGAUGGGGUUUCACCAUGUUGGCCAGGCUAGUCUUGAACUCCUGACCUCAAGUGAUCCACCCACUUUGGCCUCCCAAAGUGCUGGGAUUAUAGGCAUGAGCCACCACGCCCGGCCAGGAAUGAUUUCUUGAUUUGUGUAUCAGUUAGGUCACUAUUUGUGUGUAAAAAUACUACUGAUUUUUCUAGUUUAAUCCAUAACUACUGAUUUUUAUAUGUUAAUUUUGUAUCCUGAAACUUCAAUGAAUUCAUUUAUUAGUUCUAACAGGCAUUUGUUGUGCAAUCUGUGGGUUUUUUUUUUUUAACACAUAGAAUCAUGUCAUCUGCAAAUAGAAAUAAUUUUACUUCUUUCUUUUGUGUUUGUAUAUAUUUUGUUUCUCUUUCUAGUCUAAUUGCUCUUGCUGGUACUUCCAGCGCUAUGUUAAAUAGAAGUGGCAAGAGUGGGUAUCCUUGCCUUGUACCAAAUCUUAGUGGAAAACUUUGUUGUCUCCUAUUGAUUAUAAUGUUACCUGCAGUUUUUUUCAUAAAUGGCCUUUAUUAUGUAGAAAAACUCUUUCUAUGCCCACACUGUUGAGAGAGUUUUUAAAUCAAGAAAGGAUGUUGGACUUUGUCAAAUACUUUUUUUGUGUCAAUGAGAUAAUCAUAUGGUUUGUUAUUAUCAUUCUAUUAAUGUGAUGUAUCAUAUUAAUUAAUUUGCAUAUGUUCAACCAGCCUAGCAUGCUAAGUAUAAAUCCCACUUUGUCAUGAUAUAUAAUCUUUUUGAUGUGCUGUUAGAUACAGUUUGCUAAUAUUUUAUCAAGAAAUUUUGUGUGAAUGUUCAUCAGAGUAACUGGCUUACAGUUUCCUUUUCUUGUGAUGUUUUUGUCUUGGUUAGGUAUCAAAGUGAGGCUGGCUUCAUAAAAUGUGCUAGCUCAAUUUUUUGAAAGAGUUUAAGAAGUACCAGUAUUAAUUCUUUUUGAGUAUUUGAUAACAUUCAGCUGUGAAGUCAUCCGGACCUGAGUUUUGUUGUUGUUAUUUUUGGGAGUCUUUUUAAUUUCUUAUUCAAUCUCAUUACUUAUUAUUCAUCUGUUCAGGCUUUCUGUUUCUUCCUGACUCACUCUUGGUGGAUUGAAUUUCUCUAUGAAUUUAUCUAUUUUCUCUAGGUUAUCUAAUUGGUUGGAAUAUAAUUUUUUACAAUAGCCCUAUUCAUCCUUUUUAUUUCUGAGGCAUUUCUUAUCAUUUCUUCACUUUCAUUUUUAAUUUUGUUUGUCUUCUCUCUUUUCUAUUAACCAGACUAACUAAGGGUCUUUCAAUUUUGUUUAUUUUUUCAAAAAACCAACUUCAUGAAU
rnacentral:lncRNA from 10 species